GACCUGGCUGGGCGGUCCGCUUAACGGCGUGUACUGUCUGGCUGGGCCUUACCUCUUGGUGAGCCGGCGUGCCCUUUAUUGGUGUGCGCCGGGGAACCAGGACUUUUACCUUGAGAAAAUUAGAGUGUUUAAAGCAGGCUAUCGCUUGAAUACAUUAGCAUGGAAUAAUAGAAUAGGACU
rnacentral:rRNA from 1 species